CCUACGGGAGGCAGCAGUGGGGAAUUUUCCGCAAUGGGCGAAAGCCUGACGGAGCAAUACCGCGUGAGGGAGGAAGGCUCUUGGGUUGUAAACCUCUUUUUUCAGGGAAGAUAAUGACGGUACCUGAGGAAUAAGCAUCGGCUAACUCCGUGCCAGCAGCCGCGGUAAUACGGAGGAUGCAAGCGUUAUCCGGAAUGAUUGGGCGUAAAGCGUCCGCAGGUGGUUUUAAAAGUCUGUUGUUAAAGCGUGAGGCUUAACCUCAUAAGGGCAAUGGAAACUGUAAGACUAGAGUACGUUCGGGGCAAGGGGAAUUCCCAGUGUAGCGGUGAAAUGCGUAGAGAUUGGGAAGAACACCGGUGGCGAAAGCGCCUUGCUAGGCCGUAACUGACACUGAGGGACGAAAGCUAGGGGAGCGAAUGGGAUUAGAUACCCCAGUAGUCCUAGCCGUAAACGAUGGAUACUAGGCGUUGUCUGUAUCGACCCGGACAGUGCCGUAGCUAACGCGUUAAGUAUCCCGCCUGGGGGAGGUACGCACGCAGUAGUGAACUACAAGUAAGUAGUAGACGNGAGAGACGCGACGACGACGACGACGGAGGAGAG
rnacentral:rRNA from 1 species